AGGGUGAUCGGCCACACUGGAACUGAGACACGGUCCAGACUCCUACGGGAGGCAGCAGUAGGGAAUCUUCCGCAAUGGGCGAAAGCCUGACGGAGCAACGCCGCGUGAGUGAUGAAGGUCUUCGGAUCGUAAAACUCUGUUAUUAGGGAAGAACAUAUGUGUAAGUAACUGUGCACAUCUUGACGGUACCUAAUCAGAAAGCCACGGCUAACUACGUGCCAGCAGCCGCGGUAAUACGUAGGUGGCAAGCGUUAUCCGGAAUUAUUGGGCGUAAAGCGCGCGUAGGCGGUUUUUUAAGUCUGAUGUGAAAGCCCACGGCUCAACCGUGGAGGGUCAUUGGAAACUGGAAAACUUGAGUGCAGAAGAGGAAAGUGGAAUUCCAUGUGUAGCGGUGAAAUGCGCAGAGAUAUGGAGGAACACCAGUGGCGAAGGCGACUUUCUGGUCUGUAACUGACGCUGAUGUGCGAAAGCGUGGGGAUCAAACAGGAUUAGAUACCCUGGUAGUCCACGCCGUAAACGA
rnacentral:rRNA from 1 species